GUGCUGUAGGUGUCUGAUUGGCCGGGGAGCGAACCAAUGGGCUGAGACAUCUCUGGGUUACCUGCAGGAAAGGUCCAUGCUCAGUUCUGGUCACCUCACUACAGGAAGGAUGUGGAAGCCAUAGAAAGGGUGCAGAGGAGAUUUACAAGCAUGUUGCCUGGACUGGGGAGCAUGCCUUAUGAAAACAGGUUGAGUGAACUCGGCCUUUUCUUCUUGGAGCAAUGGAGGAUGAGAGGUGACCUGACAGAGGAAAUAAGUGCAUUUGGUGAGAAUGGAGAAGGAGAUGACUUGGAUGUCUGGACUGUACAGUGCAGUGGCAUGAGACGGGAGCAUAAUGAUGAUGUUUGCUUCAAGCAAGUAGGAACCCAGGUCUUUCUAACCAUAACAGAAGAGCAGUAUGGCCAUCCAAUCAGGGGUCAGCUUGAAGUUCAUGGCACAUUUAACCCUAGUGAGCCAUUAAAACAUAAUGACUUGUAGCUUAUUUUAAAGAUUACCUGGGGAUUACCUGAGGCCAGUUAGAAAUUGUUGCAUAGUUUGCAAAUGACAAUUGCUUCAUCCUGUCUGGA